rnacentral:lncRNA from 8 species
AUGUUCAUGACUGUGAACCAGCUCCCCAGGACUGAGAGAAACUGUCCAUAUGCUACUUUAAAGUCCAAGCUUACAACAUCCCCCAUACUGGCUUUCCAGGACCCAAAUCUAGAUUUCAUAAUGGAUACCGACGCAUGUGACACAGGCAUAGGGGCAGUCCUCUCCCAGAAACAUGAGGGUAGAGAGAGAGUAGUAGCAUAUGCCAGUCGGGCACUGUCAAAACAAGAGAGGAGGUAUUCUACUACCAAGAAGGAGCUUCUUGCUGUGGUAGUGUUUCUUAAACAUUUCAGACACUUUUUGCUGGGGAGGAAAUUUCUACUGAGAACUGAUCACAGCUCACUGAGGUGGCUGAGUAACUUCAAACAACCUGAGGGACAGUUGGCUAGAUGGUUAGAGAACCUGGAUCAGUUUGACUAUGAUAUUGUCCACAGGCCAGGGAGACCGCACAGUAAUGCAGAUGGUGUGUCACGCCAACACACACAGACAGAGUGUGUAGACACAGCCGUCUCACAGGAGGCCACUGUCAAUCUGAGAACCAUCGUAAACAAUCCUCAGGAUAUCACUAUUGAGCCUGUAGUUGGAGCUCAAACAAGCCAGGCAGUCCCCACAAAUGCAGCUUUCCUGUUGGAAGCACAGGAUAGAGACCCAGUGGUCUCCCAGUUAAUAAAUGAAGAAAAAGAGGGUAGAGCAGAGCUCCCUGUGGAGUUACAAUCGGAGCCAAAGUUCAGGCCUUUCAAACAAGUGUGGGGGGCAUUACAUGUGAAGAAUGGGGUGUUAUGCCUUGAGAGUCAAAACGAUGAGACAGAUGGCACCAUCUGGAGAGGGGUUGUACCAGAUGAGCUCGUACAUGAGAUACUUCCCUUUAUCCACAAUGAUAGAACAGGAGGCCAUUUAGGAGUUGAAAAACUCACCAGUAAAAUUAAAACAAGAUUUUAUUGGCCAGGCUGGCAGAGAGCCAUAAAGCAGUGGUGUAAGGACUGUGUGGUGUGCACUGCAUACAGGGUCCAGCCCCCAGAACAACAAUGA